AAUAGGCUUGGUCCUGGCCUUUCUAUUGACUCUUAGCAAGAUUACACAUGCAAGCAUCCCCACUCCGGUGAAGACGCCCUCCCCAUCAACAUGACCAGGAGGAGCAAGUAUCAAGCACGCUCAUGCAGCUCAAAACACUUUGCCCAGCCACACCCCCACGGGAGACAGCAGUGACAAGUCUUUAGCAAUGAACGAAAGUUCAACUAAGCUAUGCUAUGCCAGGGUUGGUCAAUUUCGUGCCAGCCACCGCGGUUAUACGAUUUAACCCUAGCCAAUGGACACCGGCGUAGAGGGUGUUUUAGAUCUAAUCUAAUAAAGCUAAACCCCACCUAAACUGUAAAACUCUAGCUAACGUAAAAUAAACUACGAAAGUGGCUUUACAAUUUCUGAACACACGAUAGCCAAGACCCAAACUGGGAUUAGACACCCCACUAUGCUUGGCCCUAAACCUCAAUAGUCAAGACAACAAAACUAUUCGCCAGAAUACUACAAGCAACAGCUUAAAACUCAAAGGACUUGGCGGUGCUUCAUACCCCCUAGAGGAGCCUGUUCCAUAAUCGAUAAACCCCGAUCCACCCUACCCUCUCUUGCUUAGUCUAUAUACCGCCAUCUUCAGCAAACCCUGAUGAAGGCUACGAAGUGAGCGCAAAUGCCCUUCCCCGCAAAAACGUUAGGUCAAGGUGUAACCUAUGAGACGGUAAAAAAUGGGCUACAUUUUCUACUUCAGAAAACCCCACGAUAGCUCUUAUGAAAUCUAAGAGCCCAAGGAGGAUUUAGCAGUAAAUUAAGAAUAGAGUGCUUAAUUGAACCAGGCCAUAAAGCACGCACACACCGCCCGUCACUCCCCUCAAAUAUACUUAAGGAAUAUCUUAACUAAAUGCCCUGACAUUUAUAUAGAGGGGAUAAGUCGUAACACGGUAAGUGUACUGGAAGGUGCACUUGGAUAAAU
rnacentral:ncRNA from 1 species